rnacentral:rRNA from 1 species
UACAGAGGGUGCGAGCGUUAAUCGGAAUUACUGGGCGUAAAGGGUGUGUAGGUGGCGAGGUAAGUUAGAUGUGAAAUCCCCGGGCUCAACCUGGGAAUUGCGUUUAAAACUGCUUGGCUAGAGUAUUGUAGAGGAUAGUGGAAUUUCCAGUGUAGCGGUGAAAUGCGUAGAGAUCUGGAGGAACACCGAUGGCGAAGGCAGCCUUCUGGGCCAACACUGACGCUCAUGCACGAAAGCGUGGGGAGCAAACAGG